GACAGAGUGAGGGACUAGGGCUCAUAAGACCUAGGUUCAAGAUUGCAAGAAUGUGGAAAGCUGCAGCAGCUGAAUUCCUGCCUGUUAUUUUAUGUAUUAAAGGCACAGGAACGCUGAUGGAAAAACAGUGAUGGCAUCCCUAGCCACUGUAUUGGGCAACUGCAAAGCAAAGAAAAUGUCGACAUCAGAAGCUACACUCACACUGAGGGCCAGUGAAACUACAGAACAGAGAAGAUUACCCUUUGAAGGUGUAGGAUCACCUCACAAGCCCUGUGAAAGAACUUCUGUGAACUACAUGUUUUCAAACUUCUUGAAUACGCCAGUUACAAAGCAUGAGGUUGCAUUUAUGAACUAUCUGUGCUUUGGCUUCCAUACUUCAUAAUUCAUUUCAAUAUUUUAUGAAAUCAGUUUUACUUAAAGUGUCUUGAUAUGCUUCCAAAUCCAUUCUUCCUGCAACCUCAUUAAUGGUGGAUUGAUCCUUCUUUAUGGCCAAAGAUUAUGUUUGUCUUGAAAUUGUUUCAAGAGAAGGAACCGCCCAGUUCAGAGCAGCCUUAUGAAAAUGUUUGUGCUUAAUGCAGUGCCAUUGGCUGCACUCCCUGUGUCUAAAUGCUAGCUUAAGGGACUCUGAGGAAAGAAGAGAAAAGUUUAGUGGUCAUGGACUUUUCACAAGAAUUCAGGUGUCUUUUCCCAAAUCCACUCUUCUACAGAAACAGUAAAGAUGUGAAAUACUUUUACUCCUCUGAAUCUGUGUAGUUUCUAUUGCAAUAUCCUACAUGUCUAAAUAAGGUACUAUCCUAUUCAGUGGUAAUAUAGCAGCUAGCUAUGUUACAUCUGUUGGAAUAGUUUAUAAGAGAAAUAGUAAUGUAGCGCCUAUAAGACUAACUCGUUUUUAUUUUUCAUAAGCCUUCGGUGUCCAAACCUAGUUCAUCUGAAGACAUUUGCUUGGAGAAAAAAUGCUUAUGAAAAAUAUUAAAAACUGGUUACAGUGGUGCCUCGCAAGACAAUGUUAAUUCGUUCCGUGAAAAUUGCUGUCUUGCGAAACCAUUGCCUUGCGAAACACGGUUCCUCAUUAGAAUGAAUUGAAAUCUAUUUAAUGCGUUCCAAUGGGGAAAAAUGGUCGUCUUGCAAAAAUCGUCCAUAGGAAACCAUCGUCUUGCAAAGUGCAACAGCAAUCGCAAAAAACAAUCGUCUUGCAGAUUAAUCGUCCCACGAGGCAAUCAUCUUGCGAGGCACCACUGUAGUCUUAUUUGAGUUCUAUGGAACUUUCUCAUGUGUAAUAUAUAGGAUCAACUACUGUAUAUAUCACUCUUAAUUUUUCUGUAAAAAACCCUAAGCUUAUUUUCUGUUAAAAAAACCCCACUGAAGCUCAUUUUCUACUGUAUUAGGUUAGAUUUCAUAGCUCCUAACAAACAAUUCAAGUUGAGAAUUAUUGAGGGAAAGCAGACAGGGGUGUUGGUGUUGGUUACUAUUUAGCCUUGCAAAGUUUAACAUUGUACUCUGCCUUGGCCUUCUGAUGGGCGUGUACUGUUUUGGGGGCAAUGAUGUGCUUCUCAAGUGUCCCUACUACGUGUUGCCAUAUGUGCAUGGGCAUGUUCUUUUCCUGACUGUUUGGCUGUGGAUACCAGUCUGGGAUCUUUGCCUUCAUCACACUGCAAAUAAAUCUUGGAGA
rnacentral:lncRNA from 1 species